rnacentral:rRNA from 1 species
AUUGAACGCUAGCGGGAUGCCUUACACAUGCAAGUCGAACGGCAGCACGGACUUCGGUCUGGUGGCGAGUGGCGAACGGGUGAGUAAUGUAUCGGAACGUGCCCAGUAGCGGGGGAUAACUACGCGAAAGCGUAGCUAAUACCGCAUACGCCCUACGGGGGAAAGCAGGGGAUCGCAAGACCUUGCACUAUUGGAGCGGC